AGAACGAACGUUAGCGGCGCGCUUAACACAUGCAAGUCGAGCGAGGGACCCUUCGGGGUACCCGAGCGGCGAACGGGUGAGUAACACGUGAGCAAUCUGCCUUCAGCUCCGGGAUAACGCGCUGUGGCAACACAGCUUUACUGGAAACCGGGGCUAAUACCGGAUAUGACACUCGCAGGCAUCUGCUGGGUGUGGAAAGUUUUUCGGCGAGGGAUGGGCCCGCGGCCUAUCAGCUUGUUGGUGGGGUGAUGGCCUACCAAGGCAGUGACGGGUA
rnacentral:rRNA from 1 species